AUGGUGAACUGGAUACAAGUGCUAAGAAAACACUUAGUCGCCCGUCUGGCGACAAACGCCGGCCUCCGGCAGCACGCCGUUGCCGUCGAUGACGCGGGCACUGUCAUAAACCUCUGGCUCCCUGAUAAUGACGAUGCACCGGACAGGAAGCAGAAGCAGCGGAAGAAGCACCAGCCCGUGGUGCUCGUGCACGGCUUCGCCGGCGACGGCAUUAUGACGUGGGUGCUCCAGGUGAGCGCCCUCGCCAAUCGUGGCUACGACGUGUACGUCCCCGACCUGGUGCACUUCGGCGGCUCCACAUCGCCGUUGCCAGACCGCUCCGUGGCCUUCCAGGCACGGUGCCUUGCGGCGGCUCUACGGAAGCUUGGAGUCGGUACGGCCGACGUGGUGGGCUGGAGCUACGGCGGGUUCGUAGCAUUCGAGCUGGCGGCCGUGCAUCCGGACCAGGUCCGCUCCGUCGUCGCCUCCGGCAGCACCGUCAAGUACACUAGCGCCAUGAGGGAUGACUUGCUGAGGAGGCUUGGCUGGGCCCAAUCGCUGACGGAGCUCUUGGUGCCGGAGUCGGUUGGCCAGCUCAGGUUGCUGUUCUCCAACGCCAUGCACAUGAAGCCGUGGUUUCCGGAUCGCCUUCUCAGGGACUUUCUUAAGGUGAUGUAUUUCAACCAAAAGGAGAGAGCUGAGAUGAUAGAAGAUAUAGUCCUCGGGGACACAGAAGCAUUUGCCCCUGUUUUUCAGCAGAGCAUACUCCUGUUGUGGGGUGAAAAUGACAACAUGUGGCCCAUAGAGGAUGCUGAGUGUCUGAAACACAAGCUAGGGGAGAAGGCGAACCUGCGACGCAUAAGCAAAGCAGGGCAUCUUGUACAACUGGAGAGGCCAUGUGUCUUCAACCGCAACCUCAUAGAGUUCCUGGCUCAUGGCAACACACGCUCCUCUUGA
rnacentral:rRNA from 1 species